UACGUAGGGUGCGAGCGUUAAUCGGAAUUACUGGGCGUAAAGCGUGCGCAGGCGGUUCGUUAUGUCCGAUUUGAAAGCCCCGAGCUUAACUUGGGAAUGGCAUUGGAAACUGGCAGGCUGGAGUGCGGCAGAGGGGGGUGGAAUUCCACGUGUAGCAGUGAAAUGCGUAGAGAUGUGGAGGAACACCGAUGGCGAAGGCAGCCCCCUGGGCCGACACUGACGCUCAGGCACGAAAGCGUGGGGAGCAAACAGG
rnacentral:rRNA from 1 species